UUUCAUUAUUUAUCGACUUUAAUAUAUCGGCCAACUUUUCUUAUCGUGCCGAUAACGAUAACAUUAAAAAUCAACAUGUAUCGGCCGAUACCGAUAUGGCGGCCAAUAUAUCGUGCAUUCCUACUAAUUGCAGUAAAAAUAUGGUAAUUAAUAGUUUUUUACUUGCCAUAUCCAUUAAUUUGACAGUAUUUUUCAGAGUUUAUCAUUAGAUUGUGCAUAAAAUAUGGCCAGUAUAAAGAUGAUGCACAUGGUCAUACUAAAAUAAUACAAUAAACAUUCACUAAAUAACAGAAAAUAUAACACAAACCCCCAUAAUGCACAUUAUUGAUAACAAAAAUAUACGAGGAAAAAAUAUGUGAUGUCACGUAGGGACAUCUGAAAAUGUCAUUUUACUUUUUUCACCAUAAACGAUAUGGUAAUUAAUUAUUUUUACUGGCAAAAACCAUACUUACAUCAUUUUACAGUAAAAUUAUAUAUAAUGCAUUUACAGUUUUCACUGUUGUGGCAAGGUAACUUGUUAACAGAUUUUUACUGUAGCAUUUUUACAAUUUUCUGUAAAAAUUACUAACAUUAUUAUUAUUUUACAGUGUACAAGCCAAGUUGUGUUGAAAAUGGACAAAGCCAGAAUUUUGGUUGUUUCAACCCAAUGGCUGGGUUAAAUGUUUGCCUAAUGUGCUGGGCAGUUUUAUUUAAAACCUAACUAUUGUUUUAAAAUGACUAUAUGGACUAAAUGACUAUACAAAUCAGACAAAUAAUUAGAGGCAAAUAUAAUAAUCAAAAGGUGAACAUUUAUUAAUAAGCAAUUUAAUACGUUUAUUGUUUAAAUAUUAUUCAUUAAACUUAUUAAUAAAUGUUCAUUCAUUUCAUUUUAAGCAAGUAAUACAGUAAUUUUUAAACAAUAGCUGAGUUAAAUAAAACUACCCAGCAGGCUGGGUCAAACAUUUAACCCAACUGCUAGGUUUGUCCAUUUUCAACCCAACUUGUUUUUAACUUGAUUGCUUUUAACCCAACUUGAUUGUUUUUAACCCAGCAUUUUUCAAAGUGUAGUCUAUUUUGAUUGUCUUUUACAUUUACAUUCAUUCAUUUAACAGACACGUUUAUCCAAAGCGACUUACACUGCAUUCAACAUACACACUAUUAACUUUAGCCAUUAUGCAACCACACAGAUCACCCUAGCAACACCCUAGCAACUGCACCACAACAACACCAGAGCAGCGAGUUAUGAAUGGGCAGACACCGCUCAUAUUUUCUUCAGAAAAUGCAAAGCUAGUUAUUUGAUAUUCAAGGCUCAUCAGACUGAUUCAAACCUGUCGUCGAGUGGCAGCGAGUCCUGGAAGAUUCUUGGCUGCUGUCUGGAUAACUAACGGACGAGAUCCAGGCCUUUAUCUCUGUGGUGUGAAUGUAGAAGCGUGACCAGCAGCUUUCAAAGGGUUCAGAGAUCGGAGGGACGUCAUCGUUUUCAUGAGCUGCUGAACUCUGCGCUCUACCUGCAAGAUUAAAACACGCCAUUGUUUAACAUUCCAGAAAGAAGCACCUGAAGAGAGAAGCGGGGAGAUGAGUUGAGUGGAAUCUAUUUCCAUAAUUCUGCCGUGCCUGUCUGCCGGUGAGACCUCAGGUGGUUCAUCGGUUGCCCCGGCCAGACCCUAUCAAUGCGAGGGGCGAUCUCAUCCUUUCUGCAUCUUUUCUCAUCACAGCUUGAUUAAAUGGGCUUCAAAUAUG